UGGUGCCAUGAAUGCCUUCUUCUCCUCCACAGUCUGGAAGUGGUCAUGGCCAAACUUGGAGAUGGUAUCGAUGAACUCAAGGUUAGUCUUCUCCAGAGCCCGGUGUUUGGUCUACACCAACAAGGACUUGCGAAGGGCACCUACUGGCCAAGUGUACACAUUGGUAAGACAGCUGGCUAGAGCAUGCA
rnacentral:lncRNA from 1 species